rnacentral:rRNA from 1 species
AUGGCGCGGCUCGCGCGACCCGCCGUCCCGGGCGAGGGCAACCAGGACCCAAUUCCUGCCAUGGCUCCUCGCUCCUCAGGUGCGUCUUCUCCAAGGCCAGCUACCGCGUGGUGCCCCCGUCGCCCGUGCCCCGGCGAAACUGGGUGUGCAGCACGGACGGCGCCGGCGUACGGUAUCUGGCCGUCGACGAACGCCUCCGCCCUAGCCUCCACGACCCUCUCACCGGAGCCGUCGCGCACCUUCCCACCUUCCCGUGGGGGGAGGGGUUUAACCCCUGCGGCAUCAUCUACGACGACGGCACCACCUUCCUCUACAGCUACAAUGAACGUGGAUGGUUCAGGGCGGCUCUCCUGCGUCCUCGUGAUGCCGAGUGGACGGCCGUCCAAAGGACCCUUGAAGCGCCUUCGAUUUGGUACCGUGAGUUCUGCGCCACGUACCACGGUGGCAAGAUCAUGGUGA